GACGAACGCUGGCGGCGUGCUUAACACAUGCAAGUCGAACGGUGAAGCCCUUCGGGGUGGAUCAGUGGCGAACGGGUGAGUAACACGUGGGUAACCUGCCCCUCACUCUGGGAUAACUCCGGGAAACCGGGGCUAAUACCGGAUACGACCUCCUUGGGCAUCCUCGGAGGUGGAAAGUUUUUCGGUGAGGGAUGGACCCGCGGCCUAUCAGCUUGUUGGUGGGGUAAUGGCCUACCAAGGCUUUGACGGGUAGCCGGCCUGAGAGGGCGACCGGCCACACUGGGACUGAGACACGGCCCAGACUCCUACGGGAGGCAGCAGUGGGGAAUAUUGCACAAUGGGCGAAAGCCUGAUGCAGCGACGCCGCGUGAGGGAUGACGGCCUUCGGGUUGUAAACCUCUUUCAGCAGGGACGAAGCGCAAG
rnacentral:rRNA from 1 species